AUUGAACGCUGGCGGCAGGCUUAACACAUGCAAGUCGAGCGGAGCGGCGGACGGGUAAGUAAUACUUAGGAAUCUGCCUAUUAGUGUGGGACCACAUCUCGCAAGGGAUGCUAAUACCUCAUACUUAUAGAUGAGCCUAAGUCGGAUUAGCUAGUUGGGGGGGUAAAGGCCUACCAAGGCGAGGAUCUGUAGCGGGUCUGAGAGGAUGAUCCGCCACACUGGGACUGAGACACGGCCCAGACUCCUACGGGAGGCAGCAGUGGGGAAUAUUGGGCAAUGGGGGGAAGCCUGAUCCAGCCAUGCCGCGUGUGUGAUGACGGCCUUAGGGUUGUAAAGCACUUUAAGCGAGGAGGCGUUACUCGCAGAAUAAGCACCGGCUAACUACGUGCCAGCAGCCGCGGUAAUAC
rnacentral:rRNA from 1 species